UCGAGCGGUAGAGAGAAGCUUGCUUCUCUUGAGAGCGGCGGACGGGUGAGUAAUGCCUAGGAAUCUGCCUGGUAGUGGGGGAUAACGUUCGGAAACGGACGCUAAUACCGCAUACGUCCUACGGGAGAAAGCAGGGGACCUUCGGGCCUUGCGCUAUCAGAUGAGCCUAGGUCGGAUUAGCUAGUUGGUGAGGUAAUGGCUCACCAAGGCGACGAUCCGUAACUGGUCUGAGAGGAUGAUCAGUCACACUGGAACUGAGACACGGUCCAGACUCCUACGGGAGGCAGCAGUGGGGAAUAUUGGACAAUGGGCGAAAGCCUGAUCCAGCCAUGCCGCGUGUGUGAAGAAGGUCUUCGGAUUGUAAAGCACUUUAAGUUGGGAGGAAGGGUUGUAGAUUAAUACUCUGCAAUUUUGACGUUACCGACAGAAUAAGCACCGGCUAACUCUGUGCCAGCAGCCGCGGUAAUACAGAGGGUGCAAGCGUUAAUCGGAAUUACUGGGCGUAAAGCGCGCGUAGGUGGUUUGUUAAGUUGGAUGUGAAAUCCCCGGGCUCAACCUGGGAACUGCAUUCAAAACUGACUGACUAGAGUAUGGUAGAGGGUGGUGGAAUUUCCUGUGUAGCGGUGAAAUGCGUAGAUAUAGGAAGGAACACCAGUGGCGAAGGCGACCACCUGGACUAAUACUGACACUGAGGUGCGAAAGCGUGGGGAGCAAACAGGAUUAGAUACCCUGGUAGUCCACGCCGUAAACGAUGUCAACUAGCCGUUGGAAGCCUUGAGCUUUUAGUGGCGCAGCUAACGCAUUAAGUUGACCGCCUGGGGAGUACGGCCGCAAGGUUAAAACUCAAAUGAAUUGACGGGGGCCCGCACAAGCGGUGGAGCAUGUGGUU
rnacentral:rRNA from 1 species